CCUACGGGCGGCAGCAGUGAGGAAUAUUGGUCAAUGGGCGGAAGCCUGAACCAGCCACGUAGCGUGCAGGAUGACGGCCCUACGGGUGGUAAACUGCUUUUAUACGGGAAUACCGCUCCUUACGUGUAGGGCUUUGCAUGUACCGUAUGAAUAAGGACCGGCUAAUUCCGUGCCAGCAGCCGCGGUAAUACGGAAGGUCAGGGCGUUAUCCGGAUUUAUUGGGUUUAAAGGGAGUGUAGGCCGCAUGUCAAGGGUGCUGGGAAAUGUCCGGGCUCAACCCGGGCCUUGCAGCGGGAACUGGUGAGCUUGAGUGCGCGGAAGGCAGGCGGAAUUCGACGUGUAGCGGUGAAAUGCUUAGAUA
rnacentral:rRNA from 1 species